AAAUUGAAGAGUUUGAUCAUGGCUCAGAUUGAACGCUGGCGGCAGGCCUAACACAUGCAAGUCGAACGGUAACAGGAAACAGCUUGCUGUUUCGCUGACGAGUGGCGGACGGGUGAGUAAUGUCUGGGAAACUGCCUGAUGGAGGGGGAUAACUACUGGAAACGGUAGCUAAUACCGCAUAAUGUCGCAAGACUAAAGAGG
rnacentral:rRNA from 1 species